rnacentral:misc_RNA from 1 species
GAUGAAGAACGCAGCGAAAUGCGAUACUUGGUGUGAAUUGCAGAAUCCCGUGAACCAUCGAGUCUUUGAACGCAAGUUGCGCCUCAAGCCAUUAGGUUGAGGGCACGUCUGCCUGGGCGUCACAUAUCGUUGCCUGAUGCCAGUUUCCUCGUGAUGGGUGACUGUGCAGGGCGAAUGAUGGCUUCCCGUGAGCAUUGUUGCCUCAUGGUUGGUUGAAAAUUGAGUCCUUGGUAGGGAGCGCCGUGAUAGAUGGUGGUUGAGUGACGAACGAGACCCAAUCAUGUGAGACCCCUACCGAAUUUGGCCUUCAUGACCCACAUUCGUCUUUGGAACGCUCAUGACGAGACCUCAGGUCAGGCGGGGCUACCCGCUGAGUUUAAGCAUAUCAAUAAGCGGAGGA